GUGCUCACUUUGGCAGCACAUACACUAAAAUUGGAAUAAUGCAAAGAAGAUAAGCAGGACCCCUACACAAGGAUAAUAUGCAAAUUUUUGAAGCAUUCCAUAUUUUU